rnacentral:tRNA from 1 species
GCGCAGGUGUAGCUCAGUUGGUUAGAGUGCCGGCCUGUCACGCCGGAGGUCGCGGGUUCGAGCCCCGUCACUCGCGCCA